GACGAACGCUGGCGGCGUGCUUAACACAUGCCAGUCGAACGGAAAGGCCCUGCUUUUGUGGGGUGCUCGAGUGGCGAACGGGUGAGUAACACGUGAGUAACCUGCCCUUGACUUUGGGAUAACUUCAGGAAACUGGGGCUAAUACCGGAUAGGAGCUCCUGCUGCAUGGUGGGGGUUGGAAAGUUUCGGCGGUUGGGGAUGGACUCGCGGCUUAUCAGCUUGCUGGUGGGGUAGUGGCUUACCAAGGCUUUGACGGGUGCCGGCCUGAGAGGGUGACCGGCCACAUUGGGACUGAGAUACGGCCCAGACUCCUACGGGAGGCAGCAGUGGGGAAUAUUGCACAAUGGGCGGAAGCCUGAUGCAGCAACGCCGCGUGCGGGAUGACGGCCUUCGGGUUGUAAACCGCUUUCGCCUGUGACGAAGCGUGAGUGACGGUAAUGGGUAAAGAAGCACCGGCUAACUACGUG
rnacentral:rRNA from 1 species